GUUUGAAUUUUUUUUAUAUAUUAUAUCAUAUUAAAUUUGUUUGGGUUUGGGUUCGAGUUCGGGUUCGGGUUCAGGUCGGGUUCGGGUUCGGGUUCAAGUUUUUUAAAAAUAUCCAUACCCGAACCGAAUCUGUCGGAUUUUGUUUUUAAUAUCCAUAUCUGAAUCCAUAUCCAUAUACAUCGGGUAAAAUACGCUCUGUUCGAGUUUGGAUAAAUUUUUUAUUUGGAGUUGACUCAGGUUCAGAUGAUAUCUAACCAUCUUAAACACUAGUUAGCACGCUAGCUUUUUUUUUUUUGAGAGAGAAGGGUAGCAUGUUAUCCGUCUUAUUUAUUUCUUUUAGAAGUAAACUUAGCUAGAAAUGUGAAUUAAUUAGGAUUCAAACUUCGGACCUUGAGUACCAGCCUCCAAGCCCUUUGCCACUUGCGCUAAGAACGGUCGGUGCACGUUGGCAUAUUGAUAUAUUAUAUACAAAUUGCAUGAUUACCAUCCAUUAUAGGAUGUCAUCAGGUCGGAUUUUGGGGCGAUUUUUAAAAACAUAAGCCCGAAUCUGACUACAAAUCCAAAACUCGAAUACGAUUCUGAAUCCCACAGGUUCUAGAAGUCCAUAUCCCUACACGAACCCAGCAAAAAAAAACCAACACCCGAAUCCAAAUUCGAAUCAAUUAUGAUCUCUCUUUAUCAUAUCUCAAAAUAUAUUACAUUAAAUCUUAAUUUUUAAAAUAAAAAUUCAAAUAUAAUAUCAAAAAGUUAUAUAUACAUACAUACAUACAUACAUAAUACAUACAUAAUAUAAAAUCAAUUUGGGUCUGGAUCGGGUUCGAAUUCUGGUCGGAUAUAGAUAAACCAUACUCGAAUUCAAAUCCAUGGGAUUUCGUGUUGUAUACCCAUAUUUGAAACUAUAUCCAUUUAGUAUUGAAUAAAUCCACUCCGUUCAGAUUCAUAUUCGAAUAAAAUUCCGGGUAUCUGUAUCCAUUGAUAUGCUAAUCCAUUAUCGCAUUGACC
rnacentral:lncRNA from 1 species